rnacentral:lncRNA from 1 species
GUAAUUGGACUUAUGUAGAAGUCACAACUAUUUGAGGUCGGGAAAUAGAAUUUUGGUGUUAAUGCAUGUUAGAGACAUAGUAUAAUGGACUAUGCUCAUGAAACAUACCAUACACAAAAAAAGAAUAUGCAAAAGGUGUGGCCUAAUCUCAUCCAUACUCAUGUCAAUUUUUUAAUCAACUAGCAUUAGGAUUUUGAGAUGUCAUAGGCCAAAUGGAAU